UGUAUGUCUUACAGCUUUGUGAAUAGGGAAGUUCUGCUUCUGUUUGCCAGUUAAUAGCUCAAGGUACCACUAAAGAGGUCUUUGCGUGUUAGAAUGCUUUAUCUGAUGGCUGUUGUAGCCCAUUCUCAAGUAUUACCUAACUGCCCUAACUUACAUACCUUAAUUAUUGCUAUUUCCUCUCAGAAUCUCCAGUCUCUCCUAUCCUAACCUGCUUUGUAAGCACUGUUAAAGGCACUCCUAAACGUCACUUUCUCUUCAAGCCUCCCUGUCCUCCCAUUUGGUUUUGGAGUAGGGGAUAAAGGAGGGAUUAUCUCCCAUUACAAAUAUUGUGCUGUACUCCUAAGGGCUCUUGACACCCUCUGUCUUAGCCCUCCUUUGAUGUAUGCUGGGAAAGAAGACAGUAGAGGAUAGUAUAGUCUAGCCUUCCUCAUGCCUUAAAGGAAGUAUCUGGCCUCAAUUAUUGAAGGUUCUUUUUAAGACAUGGGGUAUUUAACCCUUCUCUUUUCCUAAGCUGUGGGUUUUGUUGACAAUUUCAGGGCAACAAGAAAUUCCCACAAUGUCUGUUGCAUUUUUUCACUAUUCCCCAUUACAAUAUGUUCUGUUUUGUGCUUAUGUAUAUUUUGAAGUCAAUAAAGUUUACAGGCAGCUAGGAAGACCACAAUGAAUGUGUCUUCAGUUGGAUCAAAUUUUCAUUUAAAACAUUUAUUGGAUGGCAUUUUAUUGGUAAUGGAACAGAGUAAGUUUAAAAAUCCUUAGUGGGUCAGACAAGUGAUGAAUUUUGUUAAUUUGUAAAAAGACUUCAUAAAAGACAUGAAUUUCUAAUAAUAUUACUGACCUUUUGAAAAUUCUUUCUCCUUUUAACAGUAACCAUUUAUGCUAUGAAAAUUUAUUUUAAAUUAAAGUGAUUUUAGUGAAAAAAUCUUUUUUCAAUUUUAAAUUUUCCUUGAGAAAAUAGGGAUGGCGUGAUAGUCUUUAUAUCACAAAAGCAUGUAUAAAUUGUAGGCAACAAGUCAGUCACUCUGCUGGUCAGACUAGUGAGAUGUAGUUCCUUGUCUAGUGAGAUUUGUUGUCUAACAGGCCAAGGAAGAUGGGUAUAUUUGAAGGGAAGCUGGCAAACUUAGGGGCAGUAGUGAGAUGACUAGACAAGGUGAAUAUGGCUAAGGAUUUAGGAUGGAAGAGACAGGUGCAGUGCAAUGGUGGAAUAGGCUAAUGAAUAGUUUUGGUAAGGAUAGAGAAUAUUUCUUCAGGUCCCUAGGAAACCUUCUAAAAUUAAAGAACAAAUGAAGUACCUACUUUAUCAAUAACAGCAAGAUUUUUGACAAAGAAAUGGUUGUGAUAACUGGUAGGAAAAUUCUUAAGAACUGACUAGAUGUAGAAGAAAAGACUGUUAGUAAAUGAAAGAGAAUUUUAAGUGCUGGCUUCCUUCUCUUU